rnacentral:rRNA from 1 species
UACGUAGGGAGCAAGCGUUGUCCGGAAUCAUUGGGCGUAAAGCGCGCGUAGGCGGCCCGAUAAGUCCGCUGUAAAAGUCAACGGCUCAACUGUUGAAAGCCGGUGGAUACUGUCGGGCUAGAGUACGGAAGAGGCAAGUGGAAUUCCUGGUGUAGCGGUGGAAUGCGCAGAUAUCAGGAGGAACACCCAUAGCGAAGGCAGCUUGCUGGGACGUUACUGACGCUAAGGCGCGAAAGCGUGGGGAGCGAACAGGAUUAGAAUACCC